rnacentral:rRNA from 1 species
CAGCCGUAAACAAUGUGCGUUAGGUGUGUCGGUAACCACGCGUUACUGAUGCGCCGAAGAGAAAUCGUGAAACGCACCAUCUGGGAAGUACGGUCGCAAGGCUGAAACUUAAAGGAAUUGGCGGGGGAGCACCACAACAGGUGGAGCCUGCGGUUUAAUUGGAUUCAACGCCGGACAUCUCACCGGAUAAGACAGCUGAAUGAUUGUCAAUCUGAAGGUUUUACAUGACUAGCUGAGAGGUGGUGCAUGGCGUCAGUGACU